GUCAGGACUCACAGGGCCCACCGCUGAAGCUGCAGUCCUUUCUGAAGGGGGAAUCAUGUCUGGGGUUAGUGUGGAUGGAGGGUCUACACCUUUAGUGGUCUUCUGCUGGAUCAGAUACAUGGCCAGAGAGAACUGCUCCCGGGAAAUCUGGUAUGGACACGUGAACUUUACGCCUCGGGACACCUAAAGGGAGGAAGCGGUUGGUCAACAGGGGCCCAUGAAGUUUCCCCCCAGAGAAAUGGUGAGAAAGAACCAAUUUCAGAAAUGGUAUUUAUUUGUUUAUGCUUUACUUAUUAGCUUGACUUUGCCACUGAACAAGACAUUGCACUUUAUAAGGUUUUUGUAUUCAAUCUGCAAAAACAGAACUUAUUUAAAAUUUUUAUUACGUAGCAACUAAUGUAAGUAAAAACCUUUUUGGAUUAGCUUUUGGAAUAUGAUGAAAAA